UACGUAGGGUGCAAGCGUUAAUCGGAAUUACUGGGCGUAAAGCGUGCGCAGGCGGUUUGGGCAGGAAGAUGUGAAAUCCCCGGGCUCAACCUGGGAACUGCAUUUGUGACUGCACAGCUUGAGUGCGGCAGAGGGGGAUGGAAUUCCGCGUGUAGCAGUGAAAUGCGUAGAUAUGCGGAGGAACACCGAUGGCGAAGGCAAUCCCCUGGGCCUGCACUGACGCUCAUGCACGAAAGCGUGGGGAGCAAACAGG
rnacentral:rRNA from 1 species